ACGCUGGCGGCGUGCUUAACACAUGCAAGUCGAACGGUGAACACGGAGCUUGCUCUGUGGGAUCAGUGGCGAACGGGUGAGUAACACGUGAGCAACCUGCCCCUGACUCUGGGAUAAGCGCUGGAAACGGCGUCUAAUACUGGAUAUGUGACGUGACCGCAUGGUCUGCGUUUGGAAAGAUUUUUCGGUUGGGGAGGGGCUCGCGGCCUAUCAGCUUGUUGGUGAGGUAAUGGCUCACCAAGGCGUCGACGGGUAGCCGGCCUGAGAGGGUGACCGGCCACACUGGGACUGAGACACGGCCCAGACUCCUACGGGAGGCAGCAGUGGGGAAUAUUGCACAAUGGGCGAAAGCCUGAUGCAGCAACGCCGCGUGAGGGAUGACGGCCUUCGGGUUGUAAACCUCUUUUAGCAGGGAAGAAGCGAAAGUGACGGUACCUGCAGAAAAAGCGCCGGCUAACUACGUGCCAGCAGCCGCGGUAAUACGUAGGGCGCAAGCGUUAUCCGGAAUUAUUGGGCGUAAAGAGCUCGUAGGCGGUUUGUCGCGUCUGCUGUGAAAUCCCGAGGCUCAACCUCGGGCCUGCAGUGGGUACGGGCAGACUAGAGUGCGGUAGGGGAGAUUGGAAUUCCUGGUGUAGCGGUGGAAUGCGCAGAUAUCAGGAGGAACACCGAUGGCGAAGGCAGAUCUCUGGGCCGUAACUGACGCUGAGGAGCGAAAGGGUGGGGAGCAAACAGGCUUAGAUACCCUGGUAGUCCACCCCGUAAACGUUGGGAACUAGUUGUGGGGUCCAUUCCACGGAUUCCGUGACGCAGCUAACGCAUUAAGUUCCCCGCCUGGGGAGUACGGCCGCAAGGCUAAAACUCAAAGGAAUUGACGGGGACCCGCACAAGCGGCGGAGCAUGCGGAUUAAUUCGAUGCAACGCGAAGAACCUUACCAAGGCUUGACAUAUACGAGAACGGGCCAGAAAUGGUCAACUCUU
rnacentral:rRNA from 1 species